rnacentral:rRNA from 1 species
CAGCCGCCGCGGUAAUACGUAGGUCCCGAGCGUUGUCCGGAUUUAUUGGGCGUAAAGGGAGUGUAGGCGGUCUUUUAAGUCUGAUGUGAAAGCCCACGGCUCAACCGUGGAGGGUCAUUGGAAACUGGGAGACUUGAGUGCAGAAGAGGAGAGCGGAAUUCCAUGUGUAGCGGUGAAAUGCGUGGAUAUAUGGAGGAACACCAGUGGCGAAGGCGGCUCUCCGGUCUGUAACUGACGCUGAGGCUCGAAAGCGUGGGGAGCAAACAGGAUUAGAUACCCCCGUAGUCCCUGUCUCUUAUAC